rnacentral:snRNA from 1 species
AUACCUUAAAGUUAUGAGUAAGGAAAAUAAGAAUUGCAGGUGACACCUCAGUCCUCAUUGCUAAUGUGAGACUAUAUGUAC